rnacentral:rRNA from 1 species
AUCUACGACCUAAUCACCCUGAACUCGUCCGACCUCGUUAGACCUCGGAAAGUUAAGCAAGGAUGACCCUGGAUUAGUGCUUGGAUGAGCAACCACCAUGCACCGUAGGGGUUAUAGGUC